GUGCUUGCUUUUCCAGCACAUAUACUCAAAUUGGAAUUAUACAGAGAAGAUGAGCAUGGCUGGCGUGCAAGGAUGACACGUAAAUUUUUGAAGUGUUCCAUAUUUAC